UAAAAUCAUUUCGAGUUAAAAAAAAAAUUAUAUAAAUUAAUUUGCAACAUUUAAUAUUAAAAAAAAAAAAAAAGUGACUACUAGCUUAUAUACAUAUAUAUGUACAUUCACAUAUUUUUAGAGUACCAUGAUUAUAAAAAAUUAAUAAAAGUUCAUUAACUUUACAAAAAAUUGCACUUGAAUUUUAUAAAAUUUUCUAAGUACACAACUAGCUAGAAUUUGUUUAACACCUUAUCAAUUUAUACAUAUAAAUACAUAUACAUAUAUGCACGUACAUAAGCAAAUGCGUACAGGUCGUAGUAUAAAACAUAUACUUAGAUUUGUAUUAUUACAAAUAUUUAAAAAAAAAUAUAUACAAGUUAAUCGAACCAACUUAUAUUUUAAUAAUAACUAAUUAUUGUUUUUUUUUUUUUUUUUUUUUUUUUUUAAAUAAAAUUCUAUAUAAAGUUUAUAAAAAAAAGGAUAUAUAUACAUAUUACAUAUAAUAUAUAUAUAUAUAUAUACUACCUCGAAAUAACGAUAUUUAUUUUUUUUUUAAAUUUAUUUCAAUAAUAAAAUGAAUAUAUAUUUAUAUUAAGAUUUUAUUUUAUUUUACUUUUUAAUAACAUCCCCCUCCUUAGUACCAUUUAUUAACAUUAUUUAGUGUGACUGUUUGUGCUUUUUUUACAUAUUUAUUAAUAGUUAUAUNNNNNNNNNNUUUUUUGUAUAUAUAAUUAUAUACAUACACGUAUAAGAGAAAAAAAAUAAAAGAUGGAUUAUGUUCGCGAUAUACUAGAAGGCUAUUACCCUGAUGAUAGCACAGAGCUUUUGUGCAAAAAAUAUAAACUAUUCUUAUUAUUAUAUAGCAUUUUUGUAUUUUUAAUAUUUAUCUAUAGCUUUUUCAUCACUCCUAUAUCCCCUUACGGAUGGCUAUUUUUUGCGAACUUUUACUUUGUCGUAUUUCCGGCAAUUGGAUUUUUUGGUGAAUCUUAUAGACCAUCGUUGUUGAGGGUUUACAAUUGGAUGUUGUUUGUUUCGGGCGUAAUUUCAGUUUUUAUUGUUUUUGAAGGGUAUAUAUAAUAAAUCUACGCACAUAUAUAUAUAUAUAUAUAUAUACGCAGUUUAUAUGUAUAUAUUUGUGUUUACAUAUUUACUUAUAAGUGUACUAUUCUUUAUGCACUUUUAUU
rnacentral:lncRNA from 1 species